GCCUCUUUUCUCGCAUCGGGAAUGGGAAAGUCUCGCCAGGGUCCUGCGUGUUGAAUUAUGGGGCGCCCCAGUGCUUGGAUGCCAGCCGGCUGUGGCUCCUCGGAGGAGAGGACAGCAGGGUGACCUUGGUUCAAAUCUUGGCAGUGACGCUCACUAAGAGACCUCGGGCAAAUUAGUCCGUGUCAUUCCCCUCUUAUGUAAAACGGAGAUAAUAAUAGCACUUGCUUCACAGGGCUGAUGGAGGGUCACGUAAAGUGAUUUGUGGUGGUGACUUUGAGAAUGCCUCCCCCACAGCGGGGCUCAGGGAAGACAGCUAACUGAACAAGGAUGAGGAGGAGGUGUCCAUCAUCUCAUCUGGGCAGCACCGCCUCCCCAUCUCCCCUGCAGUUCCCUCCCCACUCCCCCAUGCUCCUGUCUCCCUCCAUCCCCUUCCACCUCUCCUUCUCCCAGGUAACACGAGGGGGCAGAUCUCCAAUGUGGACAUCAGCCCAUGUCUCCUCCUCAUUAAACGUUCCUUAAUGACCUUCAUGGCCUUCGGGUGAAGUUCAGGGUCCUUGCCCUGGUGAGCAAGGUCCUAUAAGAUCUAGCCCUGCUCACCUCACUGCAACCUCACAGGGCCUUUCCCAUUUCUAAAUACACCAAGCUCAGUCCAGCCUCAGAGACUUUGUCCUUUGCCAGUCCCACUGCCUGGAACAGUCUUCCCCUCAGAUGUCACCGUGACUCCCUCAGUUCAUGUGGGCCUCUUCUCAAAUGUCAUCUCCUUGGAGAUGUCUUCCCUGAGCACCUAAUCUAAGCACAGAGUGGCAGCACAGACGGAUGAGGACACCAGCGCAUAGGAAGGAGCGAAUGCAGGAGGUAGCAAGGAGGCUCCAUCUUCGUUCCUAACGAGAGGAGAGACGAGGCAGCAGAAACCAGCCCAGAGCCUUGCUCCUGCUCCAAAACGUGUCUCAGCAGCGAAAAGGACAAAAGCUGGCUCCCCACCCGACCUGCCAGCCCCUGCUCCAGAAACUCAGGGGAGGCCCCCACCUGUCUCCAUCCUGUUGACUAGGUCAGGAAGAAAGUCUCCGGAGCUCCUUCACUGUUGGCGCCUCUCUGCUCGAGCUCAGACACGAAGCCUCGCCGGCAUCAGCGGGGCAGCGGCGAGCCGAGGGUGAGUAGCUGUCUGCUUUAUGCUGGUCUGCUCGUGCCGGUGACAUCGGUUUCCUAGUCGCAGCCCCAAACUACUUAAGCAUAGAAAUACAAAGUCCAGUUCAGAAAGACAUUAAGGAGCAGGAGAGGUGGCCCUGGGCCACUGCAGAAACGGUGCGAUUGUGCAUGCCUGCUGUUGGCGACGGCUGGUCUACACUGGCUGUUCUUCAAGGCAAGGACACUGAAUUGCCAUCUGGGUGCCCCCAGAGGCUGACUAAGCCCUGACCCCUAAAGAGACUCUCCAAAGAUUUGUUUGGAUUGGGUUAAGCCAGUAAUACCUGUCCAAAGGGUGUCCCUGGAAAAUGCACCACCCUGCCACGGGACCCCGGCCAAAAGACACAAUACAAUCGAGGUCUCCAUGUUGCCGUGUUUCUCUCCCCAUAGAGAAGGGAAGACUGCAUGCGAGGUGCCGCCCCCACCUCGAACAAGCUCACAGCCAGGUAGCAGGAUGAAGCUUCUUGUCCCGUCGUGCCCUGCUCCAGUCUGCCCAGCCAGGCGCAAGUGAGGGCUGUGGAGGCUGUCAGAAUAAAAAUGGAGUCACUGGUGGUACAGAAAAUAUCAAAAUCAAACAAACCCAAAUAUUGCAGGGACAGGCCACCAAGAGAGGGUUCUCACGCUUGCAUGCCUGAUAACAAAA